rnacentral:rRNA from 1 species
GAUGAACGCUAGCGGGAGGCUUAACACAUGCAAGUCGAGGGGCAGCAUGGAGUAGCAAUACUCUGAUGGCGACCGGCAGACGGGUGAGUAACGCGUAUGCAACCUACCCUGUACUGGGGGAUAACCCGGAGAAAUUCGGACUAAUACCCCAUAGAAAUAUCGAGAGGCAUCUUGAGAUAUUUAAAGUUCCGACGGUACGGGAUGGGCAUGCGUAACAUUAGCUAGUUGGUAAGGUAACGGCUUACCAAGGCUUUGAUGUUUAGGGGUCCUGAGAGGGUGAUCCCCCACACUGGUACUGAGACACGGACCAGACUCCUACGGGAGGCAGCAGUGAGGAAUAUUGGUCAAUGGGCGCAAGCCUGAACCAGCCAUCCCGCGUGCAGGAAGACGGCCCUAUGGGUUGUAAACUGCUUUUCCAGGAAGAGAAACUUACGUACGUGUUACGUAAUUGACGGUAUCCUGGGAAUAAGCAUCGGCUAACUCCGUGCCAGCAGCCGCGGUAAUGUGUG